GGCUGGUCCAAGUGCAGUGGUGUUCACAACUCAUCGAUCACAACCAGCUACAGAUUUCUCUGUUCCUUCUCUAUUACCACUGCUUCACUGACCAGCCUUUA
ensembl:misc_RNA Y_RNA Y RNA